CAUGUACUCCCUCCGUUCCAAGUUACUCGUCGAAGAAAUGGAUGUAUCUAGAACUAAAAUACAUCUAGAUACAUCCAUACCUGCGACAAGUAAUUCGGAAUGGAGGGAGUAUAUA
rnacentral:pre_miRNA from 1 species